AGCCACAUCACGUUGAAAAACAGGUUCCCAUACGAUCACAAAAGUUAAGCAACAUUGUGCCUGGUCAGUACCUAGAUGGGUGACGACUUGGAAAUACCAGGUGCUGUAAG